rnacentral:rRNA from 1 species
AGUAACGCGUGAGGAACCUGCCUCAAAGAGGGGGGAAACAGUUGGAAACGACUGCUAAUACCGCAUAAGCCCACGGCUCGGCAUCGAGCAGAGGGAAAAGGAGUAAUCCGCUUUGAGAUGGCCUCGCGUCCGAUUAGCUAGUUGGUGAGGUAAAGGCUCACCAAGGCGACGAUCGGUAGCUGGUCUGAGAGGACGACCAGCCACACUGGGACUGAGACACGGCCCAG